rfam:TPA: Bos taurus chromosome 12, whole genome shotgun sequence.
UCCCUUGUAGCUCAGACGGUAAAGCGUCUGCCUCCAACGCGGGAGACCCGGGUUCGAUCCCUGGGUCGGGAA